rnacentral:sRNA from 1 species
GCAUGACUUACAUACAUAAACGUUUUGCAAAAAUAACGGUUUUGCCAUUUCUGCACCUUCUGUGUUGACAGUUGAGCUGGAGGAACUGGUUUCGUAUAGUUAUCGUGGUUGCUGCCAUGGAAUAGAAGAAAAUGUGCAAAAAUUCAGUUGAUGUUUAUUGGUGUAAUCGAGCGGUAGUCAAUUGUUAAACACCUCGCUUAGGGGUGAACGUGAACGUGUGCAGGAUUUCAACUUUUUUUAAUUCACGUGCGACCAGUGGCGAGACACGCAAUAUUUGUAUUUAAUAUUUCAGUGCCCCGAUUUUUUCAAUAGCCAUACUUGCCCCCCUCGGCGCCACCAUAACUCGUGAAGAGGACAACAAAUGAAAAUGUACCACAAAAUAAAACGAAAUAGCAAAAUAUCCAUGAAAAUUAAAAGAAAACUUUUGUGAAGUUCUUACUCCCGCAAAUAAAACAAAGCGAAUCAACAAAAACCCCCCAGCACACAACAAUGUUAAUGGGGCAAGCAACAACAAAUGGAAAUUAUUAUAAUAAUAUUUUGUCAUAAACAAAAAAUAAAUAUCCACAACCCUCUUCUCAGCUGCCUUAGAAUGAAGAGACGACAUUCGUUCGCAACAAACAAAUAAUAGCUACAACAACGACAAAGCCGAAGAAAGACGCAAAGAAAUUCAAGGUGACACGUUUCUUUAAA